rnacentral:lncRNA from 1 species
CUGUGAUUUGUAGAAUGUUCCAUAGCUGUUGUUGAGGUAGUAGGAACUGUUUUCUCCAACGUUGUUAGACGGCGACGACGGUUGAAGGUGGUCCUCCGGUGGGUAUGACGAGAGCUAAUACUCGGUCCUCUUCCAGUUUGGCGAAAUGUCACAUCUUUUUGAGUAUCAGACGAAAUUAAGCGUUUCGUCCUAACGUUCCAUCCUGCUGAUCCAGUUGUUCUAUCUGUGAAGUGGGGUCCUCUAUGUUUGAUUUUGUUGUAGUAAUGUCCAAGAAAAGGUGUUACUCUGUGACGAUGUCCAGAUAAGACUACUUGUUCCUUUUCACUUAUAUUCAAGUCAGAUUUGGCAAUACUGCUUCCUUCUCGUAGUAGACGUUGCUCAUGCAAGGGCAGAUUGAGAUUGGCAAUAGGUCCUUCUUUCGGAAUAGGUUUGUGAAUGCUAUUGAUU